AGUGCCCUUUUGGCUCCAGAGAAUGUUAAAACACCAGUGUAGUGCAAAUAGCAUUCCCAAUGAGCAAGAUGGAUAUUGCAGAUCUUUCCACUACAAAGAGGUGGGAGGAAGAGAAGCACAGAUCACAAAGAUGUGAGAGAUUAAGGGAGUAAAAACUGGAAGCCUGGUAGACUGCUCCAGUAGUGCCUUGAGGUUCCAGCCAAGAUCAGGGUGUUAUAUGAAGACGUCAUAAGAGACGGUGCCUGACUCAAGGAACUUUGUCUAAAGAGACUGGGAAGGAAGCAGAGACACAGAUAAGAGCAGUCACUUGCCCAGGAUUCGUGGUAGAGCCACAAAUAAAACCUUCAUCUUAUGACUGAGCCCUGUGCCUUACCCACUAGUCCAUGCUGCUAUGACUGAGGAAAGAAGGCUCUUCCAGCUUUUGGGAAAUUAUUGGUUCUAGUACUAAUAUCUGGUUAAAAGCACAAUGUGUGAGUGUUCAGAGAGAGGAGUAGAGAUGAGAAGAAUCUGGGACUAACAUCAAAUCACGCUACAAACUUAUGCCUGAUGCAUGAGGCUGAUGAAUAAUGAAAUCUAUGCUGGAAGAACAAGUCAACAGGAGGAUGAGAAAGCAGCACGAUGUAAGCAUACUGGAACACAAGUAGCUGGGAAGGAGGAUCUUAUGUGGAGAUACAUUUCAAAAGUUUGCUGGAGAAGAAGGAAAAAGAACCCCUUGGUCAUCCCACUGAGGGAGCAAAAGGGACAGUGCUUUUUGCAUCCAUGAAAGUUGGAUCCUGGCUGGAGCUGGCAAUGACAAGAGGUUGCUUUA